UGUGGCCAAUCUGCCUUGAUUGGCAGAUAGUGUCUACUUAAGCCAGAGGCGGCCACACCAAGCCAGGCAGGGAGCAGAGCAGCAGGCUGUGUGGUGGUCUGUGUGGUGUUGGUUUGGUGAUUAGU